AUUGAACGCUGGCGGCAGGCUUAACACAUGCAAGUCGAGCGGAGAGAGGUAGCUUGCUACUGAUCUUAGCGGCGGACGGGUGAGUAAUGCUUAGGAAUCUGCCUAUUAGUGGGGGACAACAUUUCGAAAGGGAUGCUAAUACCGCAUACGUCCUACGGGAGAAAGCAGGGGAUCACUUGUGACCUUGCGCUAAUAGAUGAGCCUAGGUCGGAUUAGCUAGUUGGUGGGGUAAAGGCCUACCAAGGCGACGAUCUGUAGCGGGUCUGAGAGGAUGAUCCGCCUCACUGGGACUGAGACACGGCCAAGACUCCUACGGGAGGCAGCAGUGGGGAAUAUUGGACAAUGGGGGGAACCCUGAUCCAGCCAUGCCGCGUGUGUGAAGAAGGCCUUAUGGUUGUAAAGCACUUUAAGCGAGGAGGAGGCUACUCUAGUUAAUACCUAGGGAUAGUGGACGUUACUCGCAGAAUAAGCACCGGCUAACUCUGUGCCAGCCGCCGCGGUAA
rnacentral:rRNA from 1 species